rnacentral:lncRNA from 1 species
AGUUCUGUAAAAGAAAUAGGAAGAAUUGCUCAGAUACCAUUGAGUAAGGCCUAUUUGGGUCAUGUUAUAAAUGCCCUGGCUAAACCUAUUGAUGGUAGAGGAGAAAUUUCAGCUUCGGAAUCUCGAUUAAUUGAAUCUCCCGCUCUAGGUAUUAUUUCGCAGCGUUCUGUAUAUGAGCCUCUUCAAACCGGGCUUAUUGCUAUUGAUUCGAUGAUCCCAAUAGGACGCGGUCAACGAGAAUUAAUUAUUGGGGAUAGACAGGCCGGUAAAAC